rnacentral:rRNA from 1 species
UGGGGAAUUUUGGACAAUGGACGCNCNUCUGAUCCAGCCAUUCCGCGUGCAGGACGAAGGCCUUCGGGUUGUAAACUGCUUUUGUACAGAACGAAAAGGUCUCUAUUAAUACUAGGGGCUCAUGACGGUACUGUAAGAAUAAGCACCGGCUAACUACGUGCCAGCAGCCGCGGUAAUACGUAGGGUGCAAGCGUUAAUCGGAAUUACUGGGCGUAAAGCGUGCGCAGGCGGUUAUAUAAGACAGAUGUGAAAUCCCCGGGCUCAACCUGGGAACUGCAUUUGUGACUGUAUAGCUGGAGUGCGGCAGAGGGGGAUGGAAUUCCGCGUGUAGCAGUGAAAUGCGUAGAUAUGCGGAGGAACACCGAUGGCGAAGGCAAUCCCCUGGGCCUGCACUGACGCUCAUGCACGAAAGCGUGGGGAGCAAACAGGAUUAGAUACCCUGGUAGUCCACGCCCUAAACGAUGUCAACUGGUUGUUGGGUCUUCACUGACUCAGUAACGAAGCUAACGCGUGAAGUUUGACCGCCUGGGGAGUACGGCCGCNAGGUUUG